GAUCCCUCCUUUGUGGAGCUUUUCAUUGUGAGCCUAAAUCUUUGGAUAGAGGGACAGUCUGAAUGUUGGACACUGGCCUCUUCAAGUUCUAUCUACUUUUAUAAAAACUGUAGCCGCUCGGUAGUGGAAUGCUCUGCAAUCCAGGAGAGAAAACAAUCCCUGCAGAGCAGGGGAACCUGCCACAGAAGCUGAUACUGUCAUUAGGAACAGGAAAGAAGUCUUCUCGGUGUUCCUCUGGAGAAGGUAUCAACUCUGGAAGCUGGAGAAGCUGCAUGUUGCAUUUAUCAGCUGCUUUCUUCACUCCAGUCUGAACUUUCUUCGGUGCAACUCUGCGCUGCUCCUGUGCGUCCUAACAUCCUAGGUGGGCGGUCAACAGUAGACAUUCAUGACUAUCUCCAGUUAUACAAGUGAUAAGAAUCAUUUUUAUAUAAAUUAAACUCUGCAACUUCUAUCAACACUAGCAAGAGAACUGGUUUCAACUCAUUGCCUGCAAGGUGGCGUCAGAUGCGUGUUAAUAAAUUUGGAUGUUAACUGUAAGAAUCGAGGUGAAAUUGCUUAGAAACUAAACCACUCAGAGAAAAAACAUUAUCCUAGAGCUCUUGUAACACAGAUAAAAAUGAAACUGAAAGCCAAUUUCAUAUAGCUUAUAAGCUGCAGGCUGCUAGGAC
rnacentral:lncRNA from 1 species